CAAGUAGUGAAGAAUAUUGUAAUAAUUUGGCGGAGGCUUCUCAGUCGAGCAGUAACUGAAUUGCUCAUUUACUGAACGUGCAACAUGUACAGAACUCUUCUGGGAACUAGUCAACCCAACUUAGUGAAACACACACUGAAUGCAUGCUGGCCCCGCCCACCCACCCACCUACCUACCUCUACCAACCACCACUCCAUAUCCUGACUGACAUGACCUGUGAUCCAGUGAUUGACAGGAGAGGAAAGACAGGCCAACUUUGUUAGCUGUUCGUUAGGAUAUGCUCGAGAGGACAAAAGAUUUUGCACCUCGUUAUUGUUGGACCUCUGUGUGGAAACUGCAAACGGGACGUCAUAAGAUAUAUAUUUUCCACGGGGAGAGGCGAGGAACACAGGCGCAACACAGUCUUUGUCUUUUUCCCGCCGAGUGUGGUGCAUUGUCCUCCUGCGCUUCUGUUCUAUGACUAUUGAGAAGCUGGCCAUGCUAACAGUGGCACAUUUAGCUUCAGCUCUUUGGAAGACAAGACAAAGCAGCAGUGUGGUGCAUUGCUGUCCUCCUGCCCUUGCUGGCC